rnacentral:rRNA from 1 species
CUACGGGACGCACCAGUGGGGAAUAUUGCACAAUGGGCGCAAGCCUGAUGCAGCCAUGCCGCGUGUAUGAAGAAGGCCUUCGGGUUGUAAAGUACUUUCAGCGGGGAGGAAGGGAGUAAAGCUAAUACCUUUGCUCAUUGACGUUACCCGCAGAAGAAGCACCGGCUAACUCCGUGCCAGCAGCCGCGGUAAUACGGAGGGUGCAAGCGGUAAUCGGAAUUACUGGGCGUAAAGCGCACGCAGGCGGUUUGUUAAGUCAGAUGUGAAAUCCCCGGGCUCAACCUGGGAACUGCAUCUGAUACUGGCAAGCUUGAGUCUCAUAGAGGGGGGUAGAAUUCCAGGUGUAGCGGUGAUAUGCGUAGAGAUGUGGAGGAAUACCGGUGGCGAAGGCGGCCCCCUGGACGAAGACUGACGCUCAGGUGCGAAAGCGUGGGGAGCAAACAGGAUUAGAUACCCGUGUAGUC